rnacentral:rRNA from 1 species
UACGUAGGGUGCAAGCGUUGUCCGGAAUUAUUGGGCGUAAAGGGCUCGUAGGCGGUCUGUUGCGUCGGCUGUGAAAACCCGGGGCUCAACCCCGGGCCUGCAGCCGAUACGGGCAGACUAGAGUUCGGCAGGGGAGACUGGAAUUCCUGGUGUAGCGGUGAAAUGCGCAGAUAUCAGGAGGAACACCGGUGGCGAAGGCGGGUCUCUGGGCCGAUACUGACGCUGAGGAGCGAAAGCGUGGGGAGCGAACAGG